rnacentral:lncRNA from 1 species
UGGCAGUUUUCUUCUGUGUCACCAUUAUGUCCCUGCUGCCUGAGUGUGACAAGGCAGUGCUUGCUAACAUUUUGGUAAUAAUUUAUUGCGAUGAGAUUUUUGCCUGGAGUUCAGCCUGCAAUCCUUUUAACACUCUGCUAAAAGGCGUAAGUUCUUUCCAGGCUUAUUUAUUUUUCACUUAGGAACUGUGCACGCACAUAAAAACCUGCCGACGUAAAUCUGCAACUUUUCUUUUUGAAUUGCAAGCUGAAUACAGACCAUGACUUGUGCAUAUAAAAAAAUGCAGAAAUAAUGCCCCCCUACUGCGGUGACCUCUUUGCAGUUUUUGAAAUUCGCACAAACAACUCUGAAGAAUUUUCCAACAGAAAAAUAACGUGGGGGAUUCCGUAAAUCCAGCACGUCCAUCUGCCGGCACCUCGCCUGGGAUAGUUAAGGAUCAUCUGGGAAGAGCAUGUCUGCAUUUUUCUGCUCAAAGACAAAAGACAAACUGCUAAAUUUCAUACUAAUUGCUAAGAAGCUUUCUAAACUGAAAAUAUGGUGAAUUUGUGAAAAUAAAGUGAAGGAAAAGGUCACUCCUCUCCAAAUCUUCAAAACCAUUAUCCUUUUCAUUGUUCCCGUGUUUUAAAGGAAUAAAAAUCUCUGGGAAGUUCUUUCUCCUAAGCCAGACCCAGGAAACCCCUCAUGAGAGUCUGACAGGACAACGGAGCAUGCCCAUGCGCAGAAGAAAUAUGUGCAACUUGUGGCCCACAGUUCCUGAUGCCUCAGUUUGCUGUGCCCUAUGAGCACAGGGACUCACGAUGGUGUGGGAGUUCAGAGAACAGGGGCAGCCAAAGACACUUUGAAGUUGGGUGGGAAGCUCUGACAUGCAAGAGAGAGAUGCAGCCGUGCAAGUGACACAGUUAUUUAGGUGAAAAGAGAAGAAGCCUAGAGCAGAAAUGUAAAGACUCCUGCAUGUAAGGGCUGGCAAGAGAAGAAGACGAGUCUUGAAAGAGACUGAGGAAAGGCAUCAAGGGCAAGAGGAGAGGAGGAAGCAUUUCCCACUGAACAUUCUCCGCUGAAAUAGACCAGCGUCCCUUGGAAGAUGGCUGAUCCCAAGACAAGGGAGAUAAGGGAAGAUUCCAGAUGAGCCUGAAAUAUCUGUGAUACCAGAAGGAUCCCUGUGGCUGCUUGGGCAGGAGUGAAAGCAGAGAGGCCUCUGAGAGGUAAAUUCAGUAACUGAAGAGCAAGUAAGUUUCUUUGUUUUGUUUGCUUUAAAUGGAUGACUCUGGUUCCCC